rnacentral:tRNA from 1 species
GCCUUCGUGGUGUAGUGGUCAGCACACUCGGCGCGUAUUCGAGAGGUCCGAGGUUCGAAUCCCGGUGGGGGCA